GUAACGCCUGCCCUGUGGAACCCUAAACGGCCGCGGCACAAAACCGUGCAAAGGUAGCACAAUCACUUGUCCCCUAAAUGAGGACCCGUAUGAAAGGCAACAUGAGAGAAAACCUGUCUCCUAAGGUCCGCCAAUGAAAUUGAUCCAUCAGUACAAAAGCUGAUAUAACAAAGCAAGACAAAAAGACCCUAUGGAACUUUAACAAAUUGAUUAUACACAAUAAACAUAAGCAAUAGUUUCAGUUGGGAUAACUUUAGAAAAAAUAAACCUCUAAACACCAUCUAGACCAACUAGUCUUGACCCACUAACGCACGACCCAGUAAUACUGAUUAACGAAACAAGCUACCCUAGGGAUAACAGCGCUACCUUCUCAAAGAGUCCAUAUCAACAAGAAGAUCUACGACCUCGAUGUUGGAUCAGGGUACCCAGACGGUGCAGCAGCUGUCAACGGUUCGUUUGUUCAACGACUAACACCCUACGUGAUCUGAGUUCAGACC
rnacentral:rRNA from 1 species